rnacentral:rRNA from 1 species
UACGGAGGUGGCAAGCGUUGCUCGGAAUCACUGGGCGUAAAGGGCGCGUAGGCGGGGAGGUAAGUCGGGUGUGAAAUCCCUCGGCCCAACUGAGGAACUGCGCCCGAGACUGCUUCUCUUGAGUCCCGGAGAGGAAGAUGGAAUUCCCGGUGUAGCGGUGAAAUGUGUAGAGAUCGGGAGGAACACCGGUGGCGAAGGCGGUCUUCUGGACGGCAACUGACGCUGAGACGCGAAAGCGUGGGGAGCAAACAGG